GACGAACGCUGGCGGCGUGCUUAACACAUGCCAGUCGAACGGAAAGGCCCUGCUUUUGUGGGGUGCUCGAGUGGCGAACGGGUGAGUAACACGUGAGUAACCUGCCCUUGACUUUGGGAUAACUUCAGGAAACUGGGGCUAAUACCGGAUAGGAGCUCCUGCUGCAUGGUGGGGGUUGGAAAGUUUCGGCGGUUGGGGAUGGACUCGCGGCUUAUCAGCUUGUUGGUGGGGUAGUGGCUUACCAAGGCUUUGACGGGUAGCCGGCCUGAGAGGGUGACCGGCCACAUUGGGACUGGGAUACGGCCCAGACUCCAACGGGACGCAGCAGUGGGGAAUAGUGCACAAUGGGCGGAAGCCUGAUGCGGCAACGCCGCGUGCGGGAUGUCGGCCUUCGGGUUGUAAACCGCUUUCGCCUGUGACGAAGCGUGAGUGACGGUAAUGGGUAAAGAAGCACCGGCUAACUACGUG
rnacentral:rRNA from 1 species